UACGAGGGGGGCAAAUGUUGUUCGGAAUCACUGGGCGUAAAGGGAGCGUAGGCGGGCUUUUAAGUUCGGUGUUUAAUUCCGGGGCCCAACCCCGGGCAUGCACCUAAAACUGGAAGUCUUGAAUAGUGGAGAGGUCAGUGGAAUUGGGGGUGUAGCGGUGGAAUGCGUAGAGAUCCCCAAGAACACCAGUUGCGAAGGCGGCUGACUGGACACAUAUUGACGCUGAGGCUCGAAAGCAUGGGGAGCAAACGGG
rnacentral:rRNA from 1 species